GACGAACGCUGGCGGCGCGCUUAACACAUGCAAGUCGAGCGAUGAAACUUUAACAGAACCCUUCGGGGCGAAGAUAAAGGGGAUUAGCGGCGGACGGGUGAGUAACACGUGAGUAACCUGCCUUAGACAUUGGGAUAGCCUCGGGAAACCGGGAUUAAUACCAAAUAAAAUCUGAAUGACACAUGUCAUAACGAUCAAAACUCCGGUGGUCUAAGAUGGACUCGCGUCCCAUUAGCUAGUUGGUAGAGUAAAAGCCUACCAAGGCGACGAUGGGUAGCCGGCCUGAGAGGGUGAACGGCCACAUUGGAACUGCGAAACGGUCCACACUCCUACGGGAGGCAGCAGUGGGGAAUAUUGCACACUGGAGGGAACUCUGAUGCAGCGACGCCGCGUGAACGAAGAAGGCUUUCGAGUCGUAAAGUUCUUUUAUAUGGGAAGAUAAUGACGGUACCAUAAGAAAAAGCCCCGGCUAACUACGUG
rnacentral:rRNA from 1 species